rnacentral:rRNA from 1 species
UACGUAGGGGGCUAGCGUUGUCCGGAAUCAUUGGGCGUAAAGCGCGUGUAGGCGGCCCGGUAAGUCCGCUGUGAAAGUCGGGGGCUCAACCCUCGGAUGCCGGUGGAUACUGUCGGGCUCGAGUACGGAAGAGGAGAAUGGAAUUCCUGGUGUGGCGGUGAAAUGCGCAGAUAUCAGGAAGAACACCCGUGGCGAAGGCGGUUCUCUGGGACGGUACUGACGCUGAGACGCGAAAGCGUGGGGAGCGAACAGG